UUUAGGGUUCCCGUGCGUGGCCGGUUCGAGUGGCCCGCUAUUGUCCCACAGAAGUCCGGAGGGAGGAAGCGCUUCUUUGGGUGGUCUGACAGACCCCCGCGGCCCACAAUAGAGCGGGGCCCAAUUAUGAUGAGGACGUUUUUCUACUUGAAGGUUGUUGAUUUACGGCUCCCAGUUCAACCGCCUGCAAUUACCAGUGAAGCAGCCAUGCGCAUUCAAAGCACUUUCUGUAUUUAAAGUAUGAAGAGUAAAAGCCCAAUUUGAUGUUAAGAUGUCGCUUAUCCCUGUCCUGCUGCUGGAUAACAGAGAGAGGGAGCAGGAUAAGCCAGAAGGGUCAUAGGAUAAGAGGUCUUCUCUGUUACCACAAAUCCCAGAUUACAUCCAAACGGGACAGUGCCAUGGCUGGACACCGAUCUGUCAUGAAGACACGCCCACACACACUCACAGAGGAGUCAUCCAGCGUUCGGCCUCAACCAGCUGAGAGGACAGCAAAGCGGAUGGCAUCUCUCAAAUGUGUGUGUGCACUCUGUCUAAAGGAAACCGCUGGGUUGACAGAGGGAACAUGCUUUCAAAAGCCCUCUGGUAUGCAGAAUAACAGUUUGGGGUUGGAAAGAUUUAUGCAAUGUUUUUGAAAGAAUUCUCUAAUG